rnacentral:rRNA from 1 species
GGGCUCACACAAGCGGUGGAGCAUGUGGCUUAAUUCGAGGCAACGCGAAGAACCUUAUCCUGGGUUUGACAUGUACGGAUGGCUCGCCUGAAAGGGAUGAGUCUGCCUUCGGGUGAAACGUACACAGGUGCUGCAUGGCUGUCGUCAGCUCGUGUCGUGAGAUGUAGGGUUAAGUCGCUUAACGAGCGAAACCCUUGUCUCUAGUUGCCAGCGCGUAAUGGCGGGGACUCUAGAGAGACCGCCGGCGUUAAGCCGGAGGAAGGUGGGGAUGACGUCAAGUCCUCAUGGCCCUUAUGACUAGGGCUGCACACGUCCUACAAUGGAACGCACAAAGGGAUGCGAAACCGCGAGGUCAAGCAAAUCCCAAAAAUCGUUCCCUAGUUCGGAUUGCAGGCUGCAACUCGCCUGCAUGAAGCUGGAAUCGCUAGUAA